UGGGGAAUUGUUCGCAAUGGGCGAAAGCCUGACGACGCAACGCCGCGUGGAGGAUGAAGAUUUUCGGAUCGUAAACUCCUUUCGAUCGGGACGAACGACUGGUGGCCCAAUACGCCAUCAGAGUGACGGUACCGAGAGAAGAAGCCCCGGCUAACUCCGUGCCAGCAGCCGCGGUAAUACGGGGGGGGCAAGCGUUGUUCGGAAUUACUGGGCGUAAAGGGCGCGUAGGCGGCCUGCUAAGUCACACGUGAAAUCCCUCGGCUCAACCGGGGAACUGCGUGUGAUACUGGCGGGCUUGAAUUCGGGAGAGGGAUGUGGAAUUCCAGGUGUAGCGGUGAAAUGCGUAGAUAUCUGGAGGAACACCGGUGGCGAAGGCGGCAUCCUGGACCGAGAUUGACGCUGAGGCGCGAAAGCUAGGGUAGCAAACGGG
rnacentral:rRNA from 1 species